GGCUGCACGCUGGCGCAGUUGGUAGCACUGUUGCCUUACAGGAGGAGGUCCUGGGUUCGAUUCCCGGCCUGGGGUCU